rnacentral:rRNA from 1 species
UACGAAGGGGGCUAGCGUUGUUCGGAAUCACUGUGCGUAAAGGGCGCGUAGGCGGCUUUUCAAGUCGGGGUGAAAGCCUGUGGCUCAACCACAGAAUUGCCCUUCGAUACUGUUAGGCUUGAGACCGGAAGAGGUGAGUGGAACUGCGAGUGUAGAGGUGAAAUUCGUAGAUAUUCGCAAGAACACCAGUGGCGAAGGCGGCUCACUGGUCCGGUUCUGACGCUGAGGCGCGAAAGCGUGGGAGCAACAGG